rnacentral:rRNA from 1 species
UACGUAGGGUGCAAGCGUUGUCCGGAAUUAUUGGGCGUAAAGCGCGCGUAGGCGGUCCGGUAAGUCGGCUGUGAAAGUCCAGGGCUCAACCCUGGGAUGCCGGUCGAUACUGCCGGACUAGAGUUCGGAAGAGGAGAGUGGAAUUCCCGGUGUAGCGGUGAAAUGCGCAGAUAUCGGGAGGAACACCAAUGGCGAAGGCAGCUCGCUGGGACGUUACUGACGCUGAGACGCGAAAGCGUGGGGAGCAAACAGG